AAUAUGCCUGCGUUAAGGAUUGAAAUGGCAUCCUUUUUCUUUUUCAGAAAAAGAUAUAAUGGAAAGCCUGACCUUCU
rnacentral:sRNA from 1 species